AUUGAACGCUGGCGGCAGGCCUAACACAUGCAAGUCGAGCGAGCGGCGGACGGGUGAGUAAUGUCUGGGAAACUGCCUGAUGGAGGGGGAUAACUACUGGAAACGGUAGCUAAUACCGCAUACUAUCAGAUGUGCCCAGAUGGGAUUAGCUAGUAGGUGGGGUAACGGCUCCCCCAGGCGCCGAUCCCUAGCUGGUCUGAGAGGAUGACCAGCCACACUGGAACUGAGACACGGUCCAGACUCCGACGGGAGGCAGCAGUGGGGAAUAUUGCACAAUGGGCGCAAGCCUGAUGCAGCCAUGCCGCGUGGAUGAAGAAGGCCUUCGGGUUGUAAAGCACUUUCAGCGGGGAGGCGUUACCCGCAGAAGAAGCACCGGCUAACUCCGUGCCAGCCGCCGCGGUAAUAC
rnacentral:rRNA from 1 species